rnacentral:miRNA from 1 species
UAAGGUGACGAACUGUACUGGUUUGCCUGGGACUGAGGGGUUUCCCAGGACACAGGGCUUUUAGUGCUAUAUUCUGGAAAAU